GACGAACGCUGGCGGCGUGCUUAACACAUGCAAGUCGAACGGAAAGGCCCUGCUUUUGUGGGGUGCUCGAGUGGCGAACGGGUGAGUAACACGUGAGUAACCUGCCCUUGACUUUGGGAUAACUUCAGGAAACUGGGGCUAAUACCUGAUAGGAGCUCCUGCUGCAUGGUGGGGGUUGGAAAGUUUCGGCGGUUGGGGAUGGACUCGCGGCUUAUCAGCUUGUUGGUGGGGUAGUGGCUUACCAAGGCUUUGACGGGUAGCCGGCCUGAGAGGGUGACCGGCGACAUUGGGACUGAGAUACGGCCCAGACUCCUACGGGAGGCAGCAGUGGGGAAUAUUGCACAAUGGGCGGAAGCCUGAUGCAGCAACGCCGCGUGCGGGAUGAAGGCCUUCGGGUUGUAAACCGCUUUCGCCUGUGACGAAGCGUGAGUGACGGUAAUGGGUAAAGAAGCACCGGCUAACUACGUG
rnacentral:rRNA from 1 species